GGAAUUAUUGGGCGUAAAGAGCUCGUAGGCGGUUUGUCGCGUCUGCUGUGAAAUCCCGAGGCUCAACCUCGGGCUGCAGUGGGUACGGGCAGACUAGAGUGCGGUAGGGGAGAUUGGAAUUCCUGGUGUAGCGGUGGAAUGCGCAGAUAUCAGGAGGAACACCGAUGGCGAAGGCAGAUCUCUGGGCCGUAACUGACGCUGAGGAGCGAAAGGGUGGGGAGCAAACAGGCUUAGAUACCCUGGUAGUCCACCCCGUAAACGUUGGGAACUAGUUGUGGGGUCCAUUCCACGGAUUCCGUGACGCAGCUAACGCAUUAAGUUCCCCGCCUGGGGAGUACGGCCGCAAGGCUAAAACUCAAAGGAAUUGACGGGGACCCGCACAAGCGGCGGAGCAUGCGGAUUAAUUCGAUGCAACGCGAAGAACCUUACCAAGGCUUGACAUAUACGAGAACGGGCCAGAAAUGGUCAACUCUUUGGACACUCGUAAACAGGUGGUGCAUGGUUGUCGUCAGCUCGUGUCGUGAGAUGUUGGGUUAAGUCCCGCAACGAGCGCAACCCUCGUUCUAUGUUGCCAGCACGUAAUGGUGGGAACUCAUGGGAUACUGCCGGGGUCAACUCGGAGGAAGGUGGGGAUGACGUCAAAUCAUCAUGCCCCUUAUGUCUUGGGCUUCACGCAUGCUACAAUGGCCGGUACAAAGGGCUGCAAUACCGCGAGGUGGAGCGAAUCCCAAAAAGCCGGUCCCAGUUCGGAUUGAGGUCUGCAACUCGACCUCAUGAAGUCGGAGUCGCUAGUAAUCGCAGAUCAGCAACGCUGCGGUGAAUACGUUCCCGGGUCUUGUACACACCGCCCGUCAAGUCAUGAAAGUC
rnacentral:rRNA from 1 species